rnacentral:rRNA from 1 species
AUUGAACGCUGGCGGCAGGCCUAACACAUGCAAGUCGAGCGAGCGGCGGACGGGUGAGUAAAGUCUGGGAAACUGCCUCAUGUAGAGGGAUAAAUACUGGAAACGGUAGCUAAUACACCAUAUCAUCUGAUGUGCCCAGAGGGGAUUAGCGAGUAGGUGGGGUAACGGCUCACCUCGGCGCCGAUCCCUAGCUGGUCUGAGAGGCUGACCAGCCACACUGGAACUGAGACACGGUCCAGACUCCUACGGGAGGCAGCAGUGGGGAAUAUUGCACAAUGGGCGCAAGCCUGAUGCAGCCAUGCCGCGUGUGUGAAGAAGGCCUUCGGGUUGUAAAGCACUUUCAGCGGGGAGGCGUUACCCGCAGAAGAAGCACCGGCUAACUCCGUGCCAGCAGCCGCGGUAAUAC